rnacentral:rRNA from 1 species
UACGUAGGGCGCAAGCGUUGUCCGGAAUUAUUGGGCGUAAAGAGCUCGUAGGUGGUGUGUCGCGUCUGCCGUGAAAGCCCGGGGCUUAACUCCGGGUCUGCGGUGGAUACGGGCAGACUAGAGGCAGGUAGGGGAGAACGGAAUUCCCGGUGUAGCGGUGAAAUGCGCAGAUAUCAGGAAGAACACCCGUGGCGAAGGCGGCUCUCUGGGACGGUACUGACGCUGAGACGCGAAAGCGUGGGGAGCGAACAGG